AUUGAACGCUGGCGGCAUGCCUUACACAUGCAAGUCGAACGGCAGCACGGGAGCAAUCCUGGUGGCGAGUGGCGAACGGGUGAGUAAUAUAUCGGAACGUGCCCGGUCGUGGGGAUAACGUAGCGAAAGCUACGCUAAUACCGCAUACGAUCUACGGAUGAAAGCGGGGGAUCGCAAGACCUCGCGCGAUUGGAGCGGCCGAUAUCAGAUUAGGUAGUUGGUGAGGUAAAGGCUCACCAAGCCGACGAUCUGUAGCUGGUCUGAGAGGACGACCAGCCACACUGGGACUGAGACACGGCCCAGACUCCUACGGGAGGCAGCAGUGGGGAAUUUUGGACAAAUGGGGCGCAAGCCUGAUCCAGCAAUGCCGCGUGCAGGAUGAAGGCCUCGGUUGGUU
rnacentral:rRNA from 1 species